rnacentral:rRNA from 1 species
AGUGAACGCUGGCGGUAGGCCUAACACAUGCAAGUCGAACGGCAGCACAGUAAGAGCUUGCUCUUACGGUUGGCGAGUGGCGGACGGGUGAGGAAUACAUCGGAAUCUACUAUUUCGUGGGUGAUAACGUAGGGAAACUUACGCUAAUACCGCAUACGAUCUACGGGUGAGAGCAGGGGUUCUUCGGACCUUUCGCGAUUGAAUUAGCCGAUUUCGGAUUAGCUUGUUGGAGGGGUAAAGUCCCACCAAGGCGACGAUCCGUAGCUUGUCUGAGAGGAUGAUCAGCAACACUGGAACUGAGACACGGUCCAGACCCUUACGGGAGGAGGAGGAGGGAAAUAUUGGACAAUGGGGGAAGGCCUGCUGAAGAAAGACGGGGGAGGUAAAAAAGGCUUUCGGGUGGUAAAGCCCUUUUGUAGGGAAAGACAAGCAGCAGGUUAAUACUGCGCUGUUCUAAGGGAACCAAAAGAAUAAGCACCGCUAAAUUCGGU